AGAAGGCGCCGGGGCAAGCGGCCUGUUGGCGCCCAGUUUCAGCUGGCUGUUCCCGCUAGCAUCAGGGCUCGAUCGUAGAGGACGCGGCAGCCGCAGCUCGCGGAGAACAGCGGGCAGAGCUGUGGGCUGCACGCGCCCCUGCAGCCACCGGGCGUCCCGCAGAGGCUCCCGCGCCCUGCGGCGACUUCCGCCCCCGCGCUCCCCUUUGUCCGAGUCCCCAAGCGGCGGCGGCGGGGUAGGAGCCCACGCCGUGGGCGACUGAGGCGGCGGCAGUCCGCGUCCCGGCGCCCUGGAGAUGCCGGACCAGAUCUCCGUGUCGGAAUUCGUGGCCGAGACCCUUGAGGACUACAAGGCGCCCACGGCCUCUAGCUUCACCACGGGCACGGCCCAGUGCCGGAACACCAUGGCGGCCAUCGAGGAGGUUAAGCUGUUCCCCGGAAUGUUUUAACAACAGGGCAUACCCAGGUGAAUUAUACCCUUUUGGGGUUCAGACCUCGCUCAACUGGAGACCUGCCUGUCUGUGCAAAGCCCAGUGCCCCACAUGAAUGGUUUAGUCUCCACUGCCAGCUGCCAUGGGCAAGCAGAACAGCAAACUGGGUCCUGAGGUGCUGCAGGACCUGCGGAAAACAGGGAGUUCACCCACCAUGAGCUUCAGGAGUGGUACAAGGGCUUCCUCAAUGACUGUCCCACUGGCCACCUGACUGUGGACAAUUUCAAGAUCUAGGCCAACUUCUUCCCCUACAGAGAUUCCUCCAAGUUUGCUGAACAUGUCUUCCACACCUUUGACACCAACAGCGACAGCACCAUCGACUUUCAAGAGUUCAUCAUUGCUCUGAUCAUGACCUCUCGGGGCAAGCUGGAACAGAAGCUCAAGUGGGCCUUCAGAAUGUCUGAACUAGACAGCAAUAGCUACUUCAGCUGCAGUGAAAUGCUGGAGAUAGUGCAGGCAAAAUGUCCCUGGAAGAAUUCAACAAAGGUGCCAAGAGUGACCCAUCCAUUGUCUGGUUGCUGCAGUGUGAUCCCAGCAGUGCUAGCCAGUUCUCAGGGGAAUGGGCUUUUACACAGUUGUGAGAAGCACAGUCUUGACCUGCCAUCUUCAGCUUUGCUUGCAAAAGUGGAUUUCUCCGUGAUUUCUCCUGCUCUCUCGGGACCUGGGUCCAGACAGCACAUCACACUCACCUGGUCUAGCUGGAUUCAGCUCCCUCCUCUAUCUGACCCAAUAGAUGUCCGUCCCCAUCCAGUCCAGGCUGGUUCCUUCCAAGGUUUCAAGUGUUCUCAGCUGUAGGGCUCCUUCCCUCCCCACGGAGGGCCUGGAGGCCCUUAAGGACACCAGACAGGACUUUUCAGUAUCUUACCGAGACCAGCUGAUUUAUUCUAUGAUCCCAGCUGACUUUGUGAGCAUGAAGAAGAUGGAGAGUAGAUAGGCAAGCCCUUCCUGUUCAUGGCUCCACCUCCCUUGUUCAUUUUCUCCAACCACAGCUGCUUGCAUGUAUAUACCGUGGUAUCCUUACUUUUAAUAUAUAAGUUUUGUAUAAAGUGAGAAGUUUCAGCCCCUGUAUUUAAAGCCUCUGACUGCCUUUAAAGCAUGGUCCCCUGUGGCUUGUGAUUCUCCCCACCCCCAAAUCUAGCUGUGCUGUGGUAUUUAAGUAUUCAUUUGCCUAAUUAUACAGGAUAUACAUGCAUGCCCAAGGCUGUGGACAUCUGCCCUCCGUCCUGCAAAUACAGGUUUUCUUGGGUGCUCCAUCCUUCCUUUCCAUUGACCUGGAAUAUUAAAAUGGUCAAAUAAACCAA
rnacentral:lncRNA from 1 species